rnacentral:rRNA from 1 species
UGGGGAAUAUUGGACAAUGGGCGCAAGCCUGAUCCAGCCAUGCCGCGUGAGUGAUGAAGGCCCUAGGGUUGUAAAGCUCUUUCACCGGUGAAGAUAAUGACGGUAACCGGAGAAGAAGCCCCGGCUAACUUCGUGCCAGCAGCCGAGGUAAUACGAAGGGGGCUAGCGUUGUUCGGAUUUACUGGGCGUAAAGCGCACGUAGGCGGACUAUUAAGUCAGGGGUGAAAUCCCGGGGCUCAACCCCGGAACUGCCUUUGAUACUGGUAGUCUUGAGUUCGAGAGAGGUGAGUGGAAUUCCGAGUGUAGAGGUGAAAUUCGUAGAUAUUCGGAGGAACACCAGUGGCGAAGGCGGCUCACUGGCUCGAUACUGACGCUGAGGUGCGAAAGCGUGGGGAGCAAACAGG